rnacentral:rRNA from 1 species
UACAGAGGUCUCAAGCGUUGUUCGGAUUCAUUGGGCGUAAAGGGUGCGUAGGCGGCGCGGUAAGUCGGGUGUGAAAUCUCGGAGCUUAACUCCGAAACUGCAUUCGAUACUGCCGUGCUUGAGGACUGGAGGGGAGACUGGAAUUUACGGUGUAGCAGUGAAAUGCGUAGAUAUCGUAAGGAAGACCAGUGGCGAAGGCGGGUCUCUGGACAGUUCCUGACGCUGAGGCACGAAGGCCAGGGGAGCAAACGGG